GACGAACGCUGGCGGCGUGCUUAACACAUGCAAGUCGAACGGAAAGGCCCUGCUUUUGUGGCGUGCUCGAGUGGCGAACGGGUGAGUAACACGUGAGUAUCCUGCCCUUGACUUUGGGAUAACUUCAGGAAACUGGGGCUAAUACCGGAUAGGAGCUCCUGCUGCAUGGUGGGGGUUGGAAAGUUUCGGCGGUUGGGGAUGGACUCGCGGCUUAUCAGCUUGUUGGGGGGGUAGUGGCUUACCAAGGCUUUGACGGGUAGGCGGCCUGAGAGGGUGACCGGCGACAAUGGGACUGAGAUACGGCCCAGACGGCUACGGGAGGCAGCAGUGGGGAAUAUUGCACAAUGGGCGGAAGCCUGAUGCAGCAACGCCGCGUGCGGGAUGACGGCCUUCGGGUUGUAAACCGCUUUCGCCUGUGACGAAGCGUGAGUGACGGUAAUGGGUAAAGAAGCACCGGCUAACUACGUG
rnacentral:rRNA from 1 species